UACGAAGGGGGCUAGCGUUGUUCGGAUUUACUGGGCGUAAAGGGCGCGUAGGCGGGAUGGCAAGUCGGUCGUGAAAUCCCUCGGCUCAACCGAGGAACGUCGAUCGAUACUGCUGUUCUUGAGGAUUGCAGAGGAGACUGGAAUUCCCGGUGUAGCGGUGAAAUGUGUAGAGAUCGGGAGGAACACCGGUGGCGAAGGCGGGUCUCUGGGCAAUUCCUGACGCUGAGGCGCGAAAGCGUGGGGAGCAAACGGG
rnacentral:rRNA from 1 species